rfam:Triticum aestivum genome assembly, contig: Triticum_aestivum_CS42_TGACv1_scaffold_129349_2BL
GACUCUUUGGGGGCAUUCAAUAAAAUUGAAACGAUAUAGAGAAGAUUAGCAUGACCCCUUCGAAUGGAUGACAUGCACAAAUCAAGAAGCGGUUGAGCACUCAACUUGU